AUGGGUUUAGGAUACUGUCCUUCAUAUUCACCCAGUUCAAUGUAACAGUGAUGGGUUUAGGAUACUGGUCCUUCAUAUUCACCCAGUUCAAUGUAACAGUGAUGGGUUUAGGAUACUGUCAUUCAUAUUCACCCAGUUCAAUGUAACAGUGAUGGGUUUAGGAUACUGGUCCUUCACCCAGUUCAAUGUAACAGUGAUGGGUUUAGGAUACUGUCCUUCAUAUUCACCCAGUUCAAUGUAACAGUGAUGGGUUUAGGAUACUGGUCCUUCACCCAGUUCAAUGUAACAGUGAUGGGUUUAGGAUACUGUCCUUCACCCAGUUCAAUGUAACAGUGAUGGGUUUAGGAUACUGUCAUUCAUAUUCACCCAGUUCAAUGUAACAGUGAUGGGUUUAGGAUACUGUCCUUCUCCCAGUUCAAUGUAACAGUGAUGGGUUUAGGAUACUGUCAUUCACCCAGUUCAAUGUAACAGUGAUGGGUUUAGGAUACUGUCCUUCAUAUUCACCCAGUUCAAUGUAACAGUGAUGGGUUUAGGAUACUGUCAUUCAUAUUCACCCAGUUCAAUGUAACAGUGAUGGGUUUAGGAUACUGGUCCUUCACCCAGUUCAAUGUAACAGUGAUGGGUUUAGGAUACUGUCCUUCAUAUUCACCCAGUUCAAUGUAACAGU
rnacentral:lncRNA from 1 species